AGAACAGACUGGGCUGGGGAGGGAUUAGGGCAGCAUUGUUCUCAACUUGGAACACACUGCUUGUAUUGCCUCUCCUUUGACAUCUUUCUGGAGUCAGUGAUGAUAACCAAGUUGGGUUUUGGUUCUACGUUUUGAAAAUGUCCUUACAAGUGAGGAAAAGGCUGAAAAUCAAUCAAGUGUGGGCUUCAUCUUUCAUAACACAAGUAGAAAUCUGUGUUAAAUAUCCCACACGGAGACGUGAGGUCAGCAGUGUAAGUCUGCUCAGCAUCGCCUGCCGCUGUGCUGUGUGCUUCAGGAACACCCAAGGGAUGGGGGAAGAACCGAGUCCUACUGACUUACAUAGACCAAAGGCAGCUCGCUGCUCCGUUCUCACUAAGCUGGGAUACAUCAGCUCAAGUUUGGAAACGUUCAAGCUGAAAUCAGCCUGAUGUGUUUUGAAAACGCGGACUGAUGGUUUUAAGAGCAG
rnacentral:lncRNA from 1 species